ACGGGUGCGUAACGCGUAUGCAAUCUACCUUUUACAGAGGGAUAGCCCAGAGAAAUUUGGAUUAAUACCUCAUAGUAUAGUGAGUUGGCAUCAACACACUAUUAAAGUCACAACGGUAAAAGAUGAGCAUGCGUCCCAUUAGCUAGUUGGUAAGGUAACGGCUUACCAAGGCAACGAUGGGUAGGGGUCCUGAGAGGGAGAUCCCCCACACUGGUACUGAGACACGGACCAGACUCCUACGGGAGGCAGCAGUGAGGAAUAUUGGUCAAUGGGCGCAAGCCUGAACCAGCCAUGCCGCGUGCAGGAUGACGGUCCUAUGGAUUGUAAACUGCUUUUGCACAGGAAGAAACACUCGGUCGUGACCGAGCUUGACGGUACUGUGAGAAUAAGGAUCGGCUAACUCCGUGCCAGCAGCCGCGGUAAUACGGAGGAUCCAAGCGUUAUCCGGAAUCAUUGGGUUUAAAGGGUCCGUAGGCGGCCAGAUAAGUCAGUGGUGAAAGCCCAUCGCUCAACGAUGGAACGGCCAUUGAUACUGUUUGGCUUGAAUUAUUUGGAAGUAACUAGAAUAUGUAGUGUAGCGGUGAAAUGCUUAGAGAUUACAUGGAAUACCAAUUGCGAAGGCAGGUUACUACAAAUUGAUUGACGCUGAUGGACGAAAGCGUGGGUAGCGAACAGGAUUAGAUACCCUGGUAGUCCACGCCGUAAACGAUGGAUACUAGCUGUUGGGAGCAAUCUCAGUGGCUAAGCGAAAGUGAUAAGUAUCCCACCUGGGGAGUACGUUCGCAAGAAUGAAACUCAAAGGAAUUGACGGGGGCCCGCACAAGCGGUGGAGCAUGUGGUUUAAUUCGAUGAUACGCGAGGAACCUUACCAAGGCUUAAAUGUAGAUUGACCGGUUUGGAAACAGACUUUUCGCAAGACAAUUUACAAGGUGCUGCAUGGUUGUCGUCAGCUCGUGCCGUGAGGUGUCAGGUUAAGUCCUAUAACGAGCGCAACCCCUGUUGUUAGUUGCCAGCGAGUCAUGUCGGGAACUCUAGCAAGACUGCCAGUGUAAACUGUGAGGAAGGUGGGGAUGACGUCAAAUCAUCACGGCCCUUACGCCUUGGGCUACACACGUGCUACAAUGGCCGGUACAGAGAGCAGCCACUACGCAAGUAGGAGCGAAUCUACAAAACCGGUCUCAGUUCGGAUCGGAGU
rnacentral:rRNA from 1 species